GACGUAGGGGCGCGAGCGUUUGUCCGGAUUUAUUGGGCGUAAAGAGCUCGUAGGCGGCUUGUUGCGUCGACUGUGAAAACCCGCGGCUUAACUGCGGGCUUGCAGUUGAUACGGGCAGGCUAGAGUUCGGUAGGGGGACGUGGAAUUCCUGGUGUAGCGGUGAAAUGCGCAGAUAUCAGGAGGAACACCGGUGGCGAAGGCGGGUCUCUGGGCCGAUACUGACGCUGAGGAGCGAAAGCGUGGGGAGCGAACAGG
rnacentral:rRNA from 1 species